UUUUCUCUGGUGGAGCCUUGUUGCUAACGACCAUGGAUGGCGAGGAUUUUCCAUCCCCUGUGAAUGCGGACGCAGUUAAAAAAUACUUCGUAUAAAGAGACCCGCUGGACAAAAAGAAUAAAAGAGUCCAGGCAAAAAUGGGCAUCCCGGCGAACCAAAAAAAACAAAAAGAAACGGUUCUGGCAAAAAUUAGGGAUAAAAAUGAAAA
rnacentral:lncRNA from 1 species